UACAGAGGUCCCGAGCGUUGUUCGGAUUCAUUGGGCGUAAAGGGUGCGUAGGCGGCGCGGUAAGUCGGGUGUGAAAUCUCGGAGCUUAACUCCGAAACUGCAUUCGAUACUGCCGUGCUUGAGGACUGGAGAGGAGACUGGAAUUUACGGUGUAGCGGUGAAAUGCGUAGAUAUCGUAAGGAAGACCAGUGGCGAAGGCGGGUCUCUGGACAGUUCCUGACGCUGAGGCACGAAGGUCAGGGGAGCAAACGGG
rnacentral:rRNA from 1 species